GCCGUAAUUCGAUGGCAAAGCAUCUGCCUUGCAUGCAGAAGACCCCAGGUUCAAAUCCUGCUAUCUCCA